rnacentral:rRNA from 1 species
UCCUGGCUCAGGAUGAACGCUAGCGGCAGGCUUAACACAUGCAAGUCGAGGGGUAUAGUUCUUCGGAGCUAGAGACCGGCGCACGGGUGCGUAACGCGUAUGCAAUCUACCUUUCACAGAGGGAUAGCCCAGAGAAAUUUGGAUUAAUACCUCAUAGUAUUAUGAAAUGGCAUCAUUUUAUAAUUAAAGUCACAACGGUGAAAGAUGAGCAUGCGUCCCAUUAGCUAGUUGGUAAGGUAACGGCUUACCAAGGCUACGAUGGGUAGGGGUCCUGAGAGGGAGAUCCCCCACACUGGUACUGAGACACGGACCAGACUCCUACGGGAGGCAGCAGUGAGGAAUAUUGGUCAAUGGGCGCAAGCCUGAACCAGCCAUGCCGCGUGCAGGAUGACGGUCCUAUGGAUUGUAAACUGCUUUUGCACAGGAAGAAACAACAUUACGUGUAAUGUCUUGACGGUACUGUGAGAAUAAGGAUCGGCUAACUCCGUGCCAGCAGCCGCGGUAAUACGGAGGAUCCAAGCGUUAUCCGGAAUCAUUGGGUUUAAAGGGUCCGUAGGCGGUUUAGUAAGUCAGUGGUGAAAGCCCAUCGCUCAACGGUGGAACGGCCAUUGAUACUGCUAGACUUGAAUUAUUAGGAAGUAACUAGAAUAUGUAGUGUAGCGGUGAAAUGCUUAGAGAUUACAUGGAAUACCAAUUGCGAAGGCAGGUUACUACUAAUGGAUUGACGCUGAUGGACGAAAGCGUGGGUAGCGAACAGGAUUAGAUACCCUGGUAGUCCACGCCGUAAACGAUGGAUACUAGCUGUUGGGAGCAAUUUCAGUGGCUAAGCGAAAGUGAUAAGUAUCCCACCUGGGGAGUACGUUCGCAAGAAUGAAACUCAAAGGAAUUGACGGGGGCCCGCACAAGCGGUGGAGCAUGUGGUUUAAUUCGAUGAUACGCGAGGAACCUUACCAAGGCUUAAAUGUAGAUUGACCGGUUUGGAAACAGACUUUUCGCAAGACAAUUUACAAGGUGCUGCAUGGUUGUCGUCAGCUCGUGCCGUGAGGUGUCAGGUUAAGUCCUAUAACGAGCGCAACCCCUGUUGUUAGUUGCCAGCGAGUCAAGUCGGGAACUCUAACAAGACUGCCAGUGUAAACUGUGAGGAAGGUGGGGAUGACGUCAAAUCAUCACGGCCCUUACGCCUUGGGCUACACACGUGCUACAAUGGCCGGUACAGAGAGCAGCCACUGGGCGACCAGGAGCGAAUCUACAAAACCGGUCACAGUUCGGAUCGGAGUCUGCAACUCGACUCCGUGAAGCUGGAAUCGCUAGUAAUCGGAUAUCAGCCAUGAUCCGGUGAAUACGUUCCCGGGCCUUGUACACACCGCCCGUCAAGCCAUGGAAGCUGGGGGUGCCUGAAGUCGGUGACCGCAAGGAGCUGCCUAGGGUAAAACUGGUAACUAGGGCUAAGUCGUAACAAGGUAGCCGUACCGGAAGGUGCGACUGG